GGCUCGAUAGCUCAGUCGGGAGAGCGUUAGACUGAAGAUAUAAAGGUCCCCAGUUCGAUCCUGUUUCGUGCCA
rnacentral:tRNA from 1 species